rnacentral:rRNA from 1 species
UUCGCCCUUAGAGUUUGAUCCUGGCUCAGGAUGAACGCUAGCUACAGGCUUAACACAUGCAAGUCGAGGGGAAACGACAUCGAAAGCUUGCUUUUGAUGGGCGUCGACCGGCGCACGGGUGAGUAACGCGUAUCCAACCUGCCCACCACUUGGGAAUAACCUUGCGAAAGUAAGACUAAUACCCAAUGACGUCUCUAGAAGACAUCUGAAGGAGAUUAAAGAUUUAUCGGUGAUGGAUGGGGAUGCGUCUGAUUAGCUUGUUGGCGGGGUAACGGCCCACCAAGGCGACGAUCAGUAGGGGUUCUGAGAGGAAGGUCCCCCACAUUGGAACUGAGACACGGUCCAAACUCCUACGGGAGGCAGCAGUGAGGAAUAUUGGUCAAUGGACGAGAGUCUGAACCAGCCAAGUAGCGUGCAGGAUGACGGCCCUAUGGGUUGUAAACUGCUUUUAUAAGGGAAUAAAGUGAGCCUCGUGAGGCUUUUUGCAUGUACCUUAUGAAUAAGGACCGGCUAAUUCCGUGCCAGCAGCCGCGGUAAUACGGAAGGUCCGGGCGUUAUCCGGAUUUAUUGGGUUUAAAGGGAGCGUAGGCCGGAGAUUAAGCGUGUUGUGAAAUGUAGACGCUCAACGUCUGCACUGCAGCGCGAACUGGUUUCCUUGAGUACGCACAAAGUGGGCGGAAUUCGUGGUGUAGCGGUGAAAUGCUUAGAUAUCACGAAGAACUCCGAUUGCGAAGGCAGCUCACUGGAGCGCAACUGACGCUGAAGCUCGAAAGUGCGGGUAUCGAACAGGAUUAGAUACCCUGGUAGUCCGCACGGUAAACGAUGGAUGCCCGCUGUUGGUCUGAAUAGGUCAGCGGCCAAGCGAAAGCAUUAAGCAUCCCACCUGGGGAGUACGCCGGCAACGGUGAAACUCAAAGGAAUUGACGG